rnacentral:rRNA from 1 species
GAUGAACGCUAGCGGCGUGCUUAACGCAUGCAAGUCGAACGAGAAGCUUGUCUUCGGAUGAGUGGAAAGUGGCGAACGGGUGAGUAACACGUUGGUGACCUGCCCUUGAGAGGGGGACAACCAUUGGAAACGAUGGCUAAUACCCCAGAUGAUAACCUUUUUAGAAAGGGUUGUCUAAAACUCCGGUGCUCAAGGAGGGGCCAGCGUCCCAUCAGCUAGUUGGUAAGGUAACGGCUUACCAAGGCGAAGACGGGUAGGGGACGUGAGAGCGUGACCCCCCACACUGGUACUGACACACGGACCAGAUACCUACGGGUAGCAGCAGCGAGGAAUCUUGCGCAAUGGGCGAAAGCCUGACGCAGCAACGCCGCGUGGAGGAUGAAGCAUUUCGGUGUGUAAACUCCUUUUAUGGGUGAAUAGAAAGGAAGGUAACCCAAGAAUAAGCUCCGGCUAACUACG